rnacentral:rRNA from 1 species
GGGUGCCGGCCUUUACCUAAUAAUGCAAGUCGAGCGGACAGAUGGGAGCUUGCUCCCUGAUGUUAGCGGCGGACGGGUGAGUAACACGUGGGUAACCUGCCUGUAAGACUGGGAUAACUCCGGGAAACCGGGGCUAAUACCGGAUGGUUGUUUGAACCGCAUGGUUCAAACAUAAAAGGUGGCUUCGGCUACCACUUACAGAUGGACCCGCGGCGCAUUAGCUAGUUGGUGAGGUAACGGCUCACCAAGGCAACGAUGCGUAGCCGACCUGAGAGGGUGAUCGGCCACACUGGGACUGAGACACGGCCCAGACUCCUACGGGAGGCAGCAGUAGGGAAUCUUCCGCAAUGGACGAAAGUCUGACGGAGCAACGCCGCGUGAGUGAUGAAGGUUUUCGGAUCGUAAAGCUCUGUUGUUAGGGAAGAACAAGUACCGUUCGAAUAGGGCGGUACCUUGACGGUACCUAACCAGAAAGCCACGGCUAACUACGUGCCAGCAGCCGCGGUAAUACGUAGGUGGCAAGCGUUGUCCGGAAUUAUUGGGCGUAAAGGGCUCGCAGGCGGUUUCUUAAGUCUGAUGUGAAAGCCCCCGGCUCAACCGGGGAGGGUCAUUGGAAACUGGGGAACUUGAGUGCAGAAGAGGAGAGUGGAAUUCCACGUGUAGCGGUGAAAUGCGUAGAGAUGUGGAGGAACACCAGUGGCGAAGGCGACUCUCUGGUCUGUAACUGACGCUGAGGAGCGAAAGCGUGGGGGAGCGAACAGGAUUAGAUACCCUGGUAGUUCACGCCGUAAACGAUGAGUGCUAAGUGUUAGGGGGUUUCCGCCCCUCAGUGCUGCAGCUAACGCAUUACGCUCUCCGCCUGGGGUAGUACGGUCGCAAGACUGAAACUCCAAGGAAUUGUCAGGCGCCCGCAUCAGCCGCUGGAGCAUGUGGUUUAAUUCGAAGCACCGCGGAGAACCUUACCAGGUCUUGACUUCCUCUGACAUCCUAGAAGAUAGAACGUUCCCCUCCGGGGCAAACUGCACAGGUGGUGCAUGGU